AAUAUGUAACUUGACGGAUAUAAGAUGCAUUUUGUGGAUGGGUUUUGGAUGAUUUAACUUUCUACACAUCAUCUGGUGGGUGAAAGUGAAUUUGAUAGGGAAAUUGGGUUAUAAUGUGAAGAUAUGCUAGAAAUCAAAAGAUUCUAAUUUUGAAGAUUUUCAGGUGUAUUGUUUGGAUAUGGAAAGAGGAUUUGGCAGUGAUUUUAAAAGGUUUUACUUAACUGCUUCUUUGAAGAAAAAAAAAA